GUCUGCUUGGAGUGGAGCUCUCUGCUCUGAGAGCACCCAGGUACCAAUACAGUCGUGUGCCAGAGAUGCUGUACUUUCCAAAUAGAUUGUAGAUUUAUUUCCUCUUUCUUACACUUUAAGAAUGUCUUGUAUCUGGUUGUAUUACAGUAUAAUUGUGUGUGUGUGCCUGUCUGAGUGUGCUUAUUUAGGGUUCUUCAAAAGUAAGAUCAGAAGGAGGGAUUUCCCUCUCUAUUUUCGCCUAAGAAUCCUGUUCUCAUAGAUUCUGUCUGGACCAACUUGGAGAUGGAUCUGCAUUAGCAAGAAGGAAGCAGGCAGACCUGCUGAUGAGGAGCUGUAUGUACAAAGCCACAGCAGAUGGGACCUGCAGGACAACCACAGGCAUCGCUCGUGCCCCACAUCUGUAACACGCUUGGGUCUGUGUGAUAAUAACAAUGGAGUUAAAUCCAGCUGGCAAGUGGUUAUACCAGUUCCACAAGCGUGGCUGUUGCCAGAGGUGGCCUUGGUGGGAUGGAGCAGGAAUCUUGGCAGCAGGCACAGGGCUGCUGUGUGUCCCUUCAGGGAGAGACAAGCAUGGCAGAGCUUGAUCCCUCAAACAUUCGUGGUACAGAAGGUCUGUUGUUCUCCACUGACUUCUGGGCAUUCUCAGGUGGCUUUUCCCAGCCUGCUUGUGUCUGUAGAAGGCUUUAUUGGUCCAAUAUCCACACUAUGGAGAAGAUCUUCGUUAUUUUUCUGUUCUCGUCUGAAUGAAGGUUGUACCAAAAAAGUCCUGAUUUUUAGGAUAAUUUCUCCUGGAAUGUGCCCAAAAAACCCACCAAGAUAAAGCAUUGUAUUUUCUUACUCAGCAUGAGCUGGUUUGGGAGGCGUGGAUGUCUGAGCUGCUGUGCAUCAGGAGUGACCUGUGCCUGCUCAGUGCAUUGCAGUAGUUUAAAAAGCUAAUAGUAUGUUUGAACUAAGAGCGAGAGAGAAUGCAAAAGAGUAUUAUAAUUGUUCAUAACAGAAAUUUCUAUAAUUAAAAAUGGAAUUCUCUGGCAAUGGAGCAGAAAUAGCAAUUUUCUACCCAGUGAAGCUCCAAAUUAUUUUAGAAGGGAAUUAGAUGUAUUCUCCUGGACUAUGACCGUUCUGAAAGAUUUUUCUGAUGCUAAACUGUAUCUGAAUAUUGGAGAGAGCAAGCUGUGCUGUCCUCUCACCUGCUGACAGCUCCGAGGCUGAAACAUCACAGACAAAAGUGCUGUAGUUUUUGUGUUUGUCACAGCUAUUGUCCCUCUUCACAUGAUCACAGUGUGGGAAAUAAUGCUCUGUAACUGCUGUGUGUUCUUGUGCU
ensembl:lncRNA